AGAGUUUGAUUAUGGCUCAGGACGAACGCUGGCGGCGUGCUUAACAUAUGCAAGUCGAACGAAGAGAGGUGCUUCGGUAUUUCUCUUAGUGGCGGACUGGUGAGUAACACGUGAGUAACCUGCCUCAUACAGGGGGAUAACUGGAAGAAAUUUCAGCUAAUACCGCAUAAUACAAGAAAUCGCAUGGUUGAAGAGUUAAGGGAGAAAUCCGGUAUGAGAUGGACUCGCGCAUCAUUAGCUAGUUGGUGAGAUAAAGGCCCACCAAGGCUACGAUGAUUAGCCGGCCUGAGAGGGUGUACGGCCACAUUGGGACUGAGAUACGGCCCAG
rnacentral:rRNA from 1 species